UACGUAGGGUGCAAGCGUUAUCCGGAAUUAUUGGGCGUAAAGGGCUCGUAGGCGGUUUGUCGCGUCGGGAGUGAAAACCUCGGGCUUAACUCGGAGCUUGCUUUCGAUACGGGCAGACUAGAGGUAUGCAGGGGAGAACGGAAUUCCUGGUGUAGCGGUGAAAUGCGCAGAUAUCAGGAGGAACACCGAUGGCGAAGGCAGGUCUCUGGGCCGAUACUGACGCUGAGGAGCGAAAGCGUGGGGAGCGAACAGG
rnacentral:rRNA from 1 species